rnacentral:rRNA from 1 species
UACGAACUGUGCAAACGUUAUUCGGAAUCACUGGGCUUACAGGGUGCGUAGGCGGCUUGUUAAGUAGGGUGUGAAAGCCCCCGGCUCAACCGGGGAAUUGCGCUCUAAACUGGCGAGCUGGAGUGAGAUAGGGGUGUGUGGAACUUCCGGUGGAGCGGUGAAAUGUGUUGAUAUCGGAAGGAACGCCGGUGGCGAAAGCGACACACUGGAUCUUGUCUGACGCUGAGGCACGAAAGCCAGGGGAGCGAACGGG